rnacentral:sRNA from 1 species
UUACACAGGGACUACAAAACAAAC